UCCGUGUGUAUACUUGAAGCUAAUACAGAAUGAGGAAAAGAUUGCAAUUAUUUCGUAAACUUAACGGAGGGUACCGAGAAUCGUAGUCAUAUAGGUACCAUAUAUGUGUGUAUAACAGGUCAGAUAAAAAUGUGAAAUAGAUUAUUGUUUCAACAUAACUUGGUAACGGAUAAAGUACAGGAUUCCGUAGUGAAAAUAGACAUUGCAAGUUUAACCGGAAGACAAUUUUCCAAACCGAAUUAGGUUAACUAUUUAAAAUAGUCGAGUACGUAAAGGUCAAAUUAUCGCAAUAAUCAACGGAUUUGGUAAUUUCUUUUAUAUCUCCGCACUUUCUCCCCUAACUUUGACGAAAACUGACGAGCAGACAAACACGUUUAAAAUCUCAUGAUUCGUAUGGAUUAAAAGUUCACGAUGUGAUUAAUGUCUUCUAAAAUCUGUUAAUGAUGAAGACCGUAAGAGAUAAUCAUUACUGAAGAAAGUUGGAGUAAAUCGCGUACUCUUGUUGCGACAGUGAUGCGUAAGGGAGCACGACACGAAUUCGGGGCAGGAAAAUUUUCUCCUUAUUUAGUAUAAAAUAAAUCAUAAUGAAAAAGGUGCCCAAUUCUAUAAGGUACCGAAAUUGAUAACACAUUAAAAUCCCAUUUGAUCAGGAUAGAUGAUAAAAGAGAAAACUAUGUCCAUUUUUUCCAGAUUCAGAGACAAUUCGUAGGAUGGUAUAUGCUUUUUUGGAGUAAUAUUUUUACAAAAUGCAAGUUAUUUUCAAGUAAAUUAUACAACUAAAAACUUCCGAAAUGCAACUAAUUUUAAAGAAAUACAUACAGAAUUAAAAUUAGAUAAUAAUCAGGCAAUAAUAGCUAUAAGUAAACUAAAUCAUAAAUAUUUGCAUUGUUUAUAAAAUUUCAUAAAUAUUUCAGACAUUCAUUAUCACAAUUUAAAAAUAUAACAUGGACAAAUCGAUAUGAUUUGAUACAGUCUAAUCCUGUGUGAAUUAUAAUUAUCAUUAUUUUUCUGGAGAGAGAGAGAGAUUGAGCGAGUGGAGAGAGAAGAGAAUACCCGAGCUGACAGAGGUGAAGAUUUGGUAAUGAUGCACGCAACGAUUUGCUAAUUAAGAAUCGUCACCAAAAUUUAAAUGUUGAUUUAGUAGCAUAUGCAUACCGAAUAUUCACCGUUAAGAUGCAAGUGGCGAUAAAAUAUUGGUCAGGUAUUGAUAUUUCAUUACGCAUAAACAGCGCUUACACUCAGUACCAUUUUGGUAGCUAGCUUUGAGUACCUAAUCAACGCUGAAAUUUCGUUGCUCAAAACUUGCAGAUUUAGUAGCACAAUAUUGGCGUUGAUAAAUAAUUCCUGUACAGGCACCUUGUGGGUACGGAAAAAUCAAUGCCGGAUCGGUGCUCAUUAUCUUCACCACAUCAACACUAUCUCAGCAUUGCCUGUAUGUGAGACGCCACCGCCACUUUUAUCUUUCAUUUUUUGUUUGUGAAUCAAAUAAAAUCAAAGUAUCAUUCGCAUUUAUUUCGUCAUGUCUGACAAAAUUUUAAAGCAAUUUUGUGUCGUCGAGUUUAUUGCUGACCAGACUAUUGAGGUUAUUCCAAAAACUUGGCUUUCAGAAGACAACAAAAAGUGUACAUUUCCAUCGAACAGGCCGAAGGGUUUUAAAAAAAUUCAAGAAGAUCCUCAUUCACGACCGGACCCUUUAUGGAAGAGCUGGGAGAUCGUUGUCAAGACAAGUUCUGGUAAGACUUUUUUAUAAAUGCUUUAGACCUAAACAAUGAUUAAAUAAUUAUUUUUUUGCAGAUAGUUUUAAUCGUGCUAAUACUAAAGCCAAGAAGCAUUUAAAGCCAAGUUAUAUUGAUACCAGCGACAUUGAAAUUGGUGCUGGAUCUUCACAAUCCACGGGACAAGUGGAUGUUGAAGGCAAUGAAGAAAUUAGUAUCACGAAUCAAGCAAUUGAACCAAUUCCUAUCACAAUUAAUUAUGAUGAGCGUCUCUCCACUUUAAUGCAGGAAUUUCGGGGUAUGUAAUUAUUUUUAUUAUAAAUCGUAAAUCGUGGUAUAAGUGGAUAUUGCAAUUAAUUUCAGCUUUUAACUCAGCAUUUCAGGUGACUUCGCUCCAAAAUCAACUGAUUUUACAAGAAGACAUCAAAGACCUGAAAACAAUAAUAUUGCGGUCUCUCAGUACUCCUUCACAGUUACGGUCAAGUAAUAUCGUUUGGCCAAUCAAAAACCAAGAACAAUUACAGCAAGUGAACGAGAUCUUUGCUGCCGACAAUACUUUAUUUAAUCUUGAGGUAAUUUUUAAUAAGUUUAUCUUGUUAUGCAAUUUUAUGUAUCAGAAAUGGCGUACUAAUAAGUUAUCAUAUGUACAUAUAUUUUAAAGGUUACGUUCUUCUCGCGACUAGGAGGGGAUUCAGUGACGCUUGCUGUCAACAACACGUUAAAGGCAAUCAUCAAACAUGAGUUUGCACUAAUUUUGAGGUUCACAGAUUCCUCUAACAAAGCGGCAUUUGGUGGAACUCUGUGCUGUAAAUUAGUUAUGUAAACGUCUCGAGAGAUAUAAAAGCGAGAUAUUAAAAUUAAUUUGUUCAUUUAUUUGGUGUAAUUUACAGAAUCCGUCCGCCAGUUCUACUACAAAGAUGGGAAUGUUCUCUCUGAGAAAAUAAAGCUGGAUUUAGUUGAAAGCAGAUUGGAUUCAUUCAUUGCUAAGUGGCUUCGGGAUUCAGUUAACAGGGGAGAGGAAGGGAAACAAAAGCGUUCGAAGGCGAAAAAUGCAGGCACCGAGGUCAACAAAGCGCGGGAGGGUCUAGAGGCGGCUGAGUCAAAUGCUGAAUCAGAUUAGAACCGUACGUGUAACUACAAGUUUGCCACAAUCAUCAAACAAUUUCGAAACAACCCCAUUUGUAAUAAAUAAUAGUCUAAGUUGUGUUGAACCUUAUUAAAAUGACAAUAUUGUAAAUUCAUCUCAAAUUGAAUACAGUAGUAGUAGUAGUGAUGAUGAAAGUAAUCAUGAAUUACACAAUGAGAUUGGUAGGAUUUCCAACCUUAACCACAUGUCGUCCCUUAGAAACUGGGCAGUAAACCACAAUAUUACUCACGCUGCCUUAAAAUAUUUAUUAGAAAUAUGUCGCAAGUGGUUACCUACUUAUGGCUUACCAAUUGAUCCGAGAACAUUAUUACAAACUCAGCGAGAAGUUCGGCAAGAUAUCGAAGGAGGCCAAUUUUAUCACUUUGGUUUAGAGAAAGGGUUAGCUAGAAUCUUAAAUUAUAAGCAAUUUGGCCAAAAAUGUACCAAGAAAGUGGAAGUUAGUGGGGCUCCACUACAACUCCACAACUCAACCCAACUCAACUCAACUCAACCACAACUCCAUGGGGCCCUUGAUAAUUUUAGUGCAUUUCCAUUCGAAAAUUUUAUGCAAAUAAUAAAGCGUAUGCUACGUUCUAAAAAUGCACCGUUAGCUCAAGUAGUUCGACGGCUAUCAGAAAUAGAUUCAGUCCCCCCUAAAUUUUCUGCCCAAAAACUAAAUUCCUCCCUAACCCGAUUUUUUUGCAACGAAACACAACCAAAAUCUUAUCCUAUUUAUUGCAAACAAUUAGAGAUAGGGUAUGCACAUAAACUGGGAAUUUUACAAAAAUUAGACCCCACAAUUCUAUCAAGGAAGUGUACUCUUCUUCCUUGUAAAAAGAAAUAUUUUUUCGUUUCAUUGUGUAAUUCAUAUGAAAUCAAUCAUACUUAGCUAUGUUUAUUGCUUAUAUAUGUUAUAAUUCUGUACAUAUAAAAUAUGAAUCGAUUCUUGUUCCAAAUUAAUUGUAAUAAAUAAUUUUGAUUUUUGGAUACGAGAUUUGCAAUACUCAUUUACACAUUGUCAUUAUUUCAAUGCCGAAAUUUCGUUAAGUACUGUGUAACAAAUAACCGGCAUUUAGACAAUGCUGUUAACUAGGUAUUGAUUAGGCAACGAAAUUUCGUUAAACGAAGAUCGAACCUCGUUCAUUCGUUACUGGUCAUCAACGCCCAAUCAAUACAUGAUCCUGUCCCAUUUCGUUGCUGUUUCGGCACCAAGAGGUGCAGGUACCCAAUCAACGCCUAUCUGGCAGCUCGGGUAUGCUGUAAAAUUGAACAACAAUAAUUAAAACCAAAAUCGGAAGUUCGCAUGCAUAAAUGAUAAAUUUAUAAAUAAGAAAACUUAUCCCGUCACCAAUUUCUACCAAUUUAUAUAAGCGGCCAAGCAGAGAAACUGAAAUUUAAAAGAAAAUAUUAAUUUUCUUAAAUAAAAACAAUGAUAUUGCGGGUAUCGUCUUGCUCUACAGGAUACCAGACUAACUGAAAAUAAAAUAAAAUGACAUAUUCAAAUGAAAAAUUAAGAAUAUAAUUCAGUGUCAAUUUUGAGCCGUAUUAGACGUUGCUCGAUUUAAUUAAAUCCACAACUUAUGAAGUUUUUACCAUUUUAAUACCUGACAUAACUAAAACAUUUCGUUUACCGUGUAACCUUGUGUAAGACUUUAAAGAGAUUUUUCCAGUCCUUCCUCAAUUGUUAUUCCGUUUACAUAUGAUGUUAUUUUACCAAUAAUCCACCGUCUUUCACGUCGUUCAUAAUUGUCAUAAUAAUGACAUGCUCAUAAAAAAUGAAAUUUCUUACAAUAAGCAAUAUUUGGGACUUACGUAACGACAUAUUCUCCUGCCAAUUGUCAAGUUUUAGUUCACAGGCACAUCAUAAUUUUAUUUUCGUAAUUCAUAAGUUAUAAUUUAAUUUUUUAAAUAUUUUGAAUGGACGACGCAAUUGACGUGAGUCCGCCGAUUGUGAACAUAGCGAUAAAAAUAAUAAAAUCCAUGUCUGGAUGAGGUGCGUAAUUUUUGACUACCCAAAAUUUUGCUUUUAAAAUCGAAGUAUGAAUAUCAUAGGUCAGGAUUAGUGAAAAUAUUCAAUUACUUGAAUCCAUGGUGUCUUUUCUUGUGUGGUGCAACAAAUUCAUCUCCACAUUUAUGUACGUUCCAUAAGAUUACCAUUUUUCCUCUGCCUUGAUAACUGAUUUGCACAAAUGCUUGUGUUGAGUUUGGUAAAAAAUUGAACCUAAAAUUACCAGUGAACUUAUCCAUCCAUUGUGUAUUGUCAUGCAAUUUUGCUGAUAGAAACUUGUUAUCUAAAAAAACGACAUUUACUCGGUUUACGCUAUUUACCAACUUUACGAAAAUUUACGAAGGCUACGGAAAUAGUAGUGAUCACAAUAUUCUAAAUUAUAACUAGAGGUAGAAAUUAAUGCAAUAGUUCUUCCCGAAUUGUGAUACAUAUGUAAUUACUUAUAAAGGCAACGGCAAGACCCGUGUCCCAUUUUCGGAACGAUCAUAAUACACCUAAUAAAAGCUGGGUCGGGAUUUUGCAAUACUUUUGUCAAACCCAUUUUCUUGUGAAAGAAUUAAUUUAAAUUAAUGCAGGUUUUGAUUUUGUUUAUACGCAGUUAGGUGGUCAGCCCUUCUGAAUAAAACAUUGACCUUUAUCCAAAGUAUUCCUUUGACCGAAGAAUACUUAUGAUACGGAUCCAUUUUAAGAUAUUAAUCGAGUACGAGUGAAAACUCAAUCUUUCUAAGUGGACAAGUUUUUCACGAAAAUCUUAAAAACGACGAGAUAAUAAAUAUGUAUGCGCGAAACAACUUCCUAUUUUCCAUCUAGCUUAUGACGUAUUCUAAUCAGUGUGUAAUAAGCAAAGGAAUGCAUCCUACACAAUUUCCCUAUCAAUUGUGAAUCCUUACAAAACCCAUCAGAUAAGAGAUACUGUAGCGACCAGUUCCCUUCUGAUUUCCCUGGCGCGUCCAACACGCGUCCCUUUAGGACCGGAAUUCGAAUUUCCUAUUACCUCUGCAGGAAUGAUAUCCUCUGCAGGAAUUAUUAUAUUUUGCAGGAAUUAUCAAUUUCAUCUGCAGUGAUUUUGCCAGUUAUUAUGCAUAUUCCAUGCAUUUACAUAAUUUUUCGUAUUUCUAUUUACCACGUGGACCACUGGCCGAAGUCACGUCUGACUUAAACUCUGCUUCCUCCUAAUCUAUUGCAGCUCUCACACCACUGCAACUGAUUACCUAGUCCCCUUUUUAUAUUAUUUUUCCAUUUUAUUAUGCUUGCAUGUCGUCACCAAUACAUGCGUGAAUAUGAACUCACAUUAAGAAAAUGGUGAACGGAGAAAGUGACUUUUUCACAUUUUUUUCUAAUUGACUUAUUUUUAUCGUUUGUUGUGCAGAAACUAUCCACAUUAUAUUAUAUAAAUUUAAGCAGAUUCAAAUAAGCAGAAAAUAUGGUGCGUGCACCCCACACGGCCUUAGAUUAUGAAAUGCAUUCAAACGUAUGAACCCCAUUCUUUUUUUUCAAAUUUUCAUCAUUGUCAAUUGCUAAAUUUCCGAUGAUUUUUUACCUACUUUUUAUGGCGAUUCCCCUUUUGUUAAUUAAUUCUACGCCAGUUGCACCAAACGAUGAUGCAAGAAAUUGCGAUUUUAUGUAAUUAAAACUACGGUGCCGCCCAGUGAAUGAAUGAUAUGUGCACGGGAGAAAGUAAUAAUAUGAAAAACCUGUCUCAUUUGCACAUUACAAGUUGAUCAUCGUGGCUUAAAAGUAUAUUGAGGACAUACUUAAAUAUUAAGGUUUUCGUUCGUGUGAUGAGGUACGGUAUGCAUUAUGAAAAAGCUGAACCCAGAUUAUGUCAUACAGUAAAUAAGUAAUUUUAAGUCCUAUAAAGAAUGUAUCUCACCUAACCCUUCCGAUACGUAAUGUGUGAUCUUAUUAAUCAGUGUGGUUGUGGGAAAAUGAGAAUCGGUUUGGCAUAAGCUAAGUGUAUAAAGUGCAGUCACAGUGGCACUGUCACACUGCAUGCAUGAGUAUUAUUAACCCUGUGCCUCAUGCCUAUGUACACAAA